UUCCUCUUGAAAACGAAAUGAGGGUAAGAUUAACAAUAUAAACAACGUAUCUGAUUAUGUAGUUUCUUAACUUAUAAUAUGUCUUUAUUUUUAGGAUUAUUAUUACAUUUCAAGAAAAGGAAAGAACAACGCAAGCGGAAAACUUUAUGCCAAGUAUAGAAACAAGAAGUCCAAAAGAAUAAAGCUUUUGAUUUCCGAGCCUAGCACAAGCAAAGCAGCAACUCACACAUCUCCUAAUUUUUGUAACAAAGAUGUUCCCGAAAUUGAUGAAUCAGUUGAAAAUUCAUUGAAAGCUUCCUUACUAAGAGAAUGUAAUGAUUGGGGAUCGAUCUGCGAAAAAUGGAAAAGAUCUUUUAACAUACGGCAAAGAGAUAUAAAAAAUUUAAGUAGCCAUACAUUUCUCCUUGAAUGGACGAAGUUGUCCGAUGCAAGAGCUUCAGAAUUGGUCAACAUUGAUUUCGAUAUUAUGUAUCCACAGAAAGGCAAUCUUCUACUUUCUAAAUGGGACCAAUUUAAGAAAAAAAUUUACAAUUAUUAUGGGAAAAAUAUUCAUAACGAACAUUGCAAACAACUCUUCGCAAAUGUUUUGACGGCAAGCAGCAUAGAUGCUCAAGAUUAUAUAUACGCAAUACUGUUGAAUUCAGUUUUACCAUCACCUGCUAGGUUUAAAUGUGGAAACGGUAAAUUACGAAAAAAAGUAACAAUAGCUGAUUCGCAGGAAAGUUUCGUACUGCGACUACCGACAAUUAACGAUUAUAAAAGGCAAAUUGAUACAGUCACUGAAAAGUAUUACAAUGCUGGAUUAACUAUACAGCCAUUUAUAAUUGUGGAGGGUUUGUCCGAUUUCAAUAUAAAAGGUUUUUAUGUUUUUUUUAACCACAAUUUGUUAAAAUUUCAAUCGUUCCUCGAAUGUUUAGAUACAUGUUUUAAAAUUUUUCAUGCACUUUCUUUAAAAUAUCCAAAUGCCUGCCAAAUUCCAUGGAUUUUUAUCCAAAAAUAUUUUUAUGAAAUUAAUACUGUAUAUGAUAUAAAAUCAGUUAAUUUGACUUCACUUAUUAAUUUCUGCAACAAUAAUUAAAGUACAAUUCAAAAUGUAUAUUUGCUUUCGUUGCCGUAAGCAUUUUGAUAAGGCAAAUCUUUUAAUAGCUCAUUUGAAAACAGACCAUUUAAU